CCGGUGUCCCCCUACCUCCUGGCCUGUGGGGGAUCCCCAGCAGGGCCGGGGGGAGCAGAGAUUGGGGGCCCCCACACCUGUCCAGCAGGUGCCCGUCUUAGGGCCCUGGAGGCGCAGGUGAGGGAGCUCCGGGAGGAGGUUAGCAGGCUGAGGGGGAUCAGGGAGGCGGAGGAUGAAAUUGACAGUUAUUUCCUUUCCCUGCAGGCCCAGGCACCAAAGGAAGAAGCACCCCGGGGAAUACCCUCCACAGCAGAGUGGCAGACGGUCACAGCCAGGACCGGAGCGGCACGCAGAGAACCGGUACCAGCUUCUCCAGUCCGACUGGUGAACAGAUCAAGAGAUCCACGAUGACCCAGAGGAAGAGGCGACGAGUGCUCGUCAUAGGAGACUCCAUCCUGAGAGGUACGGAAGGACCCAUCUGUCGCCAGGACCCCUCGGCACGAGAGGUAUGCUGCCUCCCUGGAGCAAAGAUUCGGGAUGUGACGGAGGUAAUCCAGGCCAGGAUCAAGCCCACCGAUUAUUACCCCAUGGUCCUAGUCCAUGUGGGUACUAA